UACGAAGGGGGCUAGCGUUGCUCGGAAUGACUGGGCGUAAAGGGCGCGUGGGCGGUUUGGACAGUCAGAUGUGAAAUUCCUGGGCUCAACCUGGGGGCUGCAUUUGAUACGUUCGGACUAGAGUGGGGAAGAGGGUCGUGGAAUUCCCAGUGUAGAGGUGAAAUUCGUAGAUAUUGGGAAGAACACCGGUGGCGAAGGCGGCGACCUGGUCCUUGACUGACGCUGAGGCGCGAAAGCGUGGGGAGCAAACAGG
rnacentral:rRNA from 1 species